UACAGAGGUCUCAAGCGUUUGUUCGGAUUCAUUGGGCGUAAAGGGUGUGUAGGUGGCGCGCUAAGUCGGGUGUGAAAUUUCGGAGCUUAACUCCGAAACUGCAUUCGAUACUGGCGUGCUUGAGGACUGGAGAGGAGACUGGAAUUCAUGGUGUAGCAGGUGAAAUGCGCGAUAUCGGAGAGACGAUACUGGCGAAGGCAGGU
rnacentral:rRNA from 1 species